rnacentral:rRNA from 1 species
CCUACGGGUGGCAGCAGUGGGGAAUAUUGGGCAAUGGAGGCAACUCUGACCCAGCAAUGCCGCGUGAGUGAUGAAGGUAAUUUGAUUGUAAAGCUUUUUUCUUUGGAACGAAUAAACGACGGUACCAAAGGAAUAAGCUCUGGCUAACUACGUGCCAGCAGCUGCGGUAAUACGGAGGGGGCAAGCGUUGUUCGGAAUGACUGGGCGUAAAGGGUGUGUAGGUGGUUUGAUAAGUUAGAUGUGUAAUACCCAGGGCUUAACUCGGGUGCUGCCUCUAAAACGGGUAGACUUGAGUACUGGUGAGGAUAGUGGAAUUCGUGGUGUAGCGGUGGAAUGCGUAGAUAUUAGGAGGAACAUCAGUGGCGAAGGCGACUAUCUGGACACCAACUGACACUGAGGCACGAAAGCGUGGGGAGCAAACAGGAUUAGAUACCCUAGUAGUC